AACGAACGCUGGCGGCGCGCCUAAUACAUGCAAGUCGAGCGAGAAGACGUAGCAAUACGUUUGUAAAGCGGCGAACGGGUGAGGAAUACAUGGGUAACCUACCCUAGAGUGGGGAAUAACUAGCCGAAAGGUUAGCUAAUACCGCGUACGCUCCUUGGACUUCGGUUCAGGGAGGAAAGCGAUACCGAGGGUAUCGCGCUCUUGGAUGGGCUCAUGUCCUAUCAGCUUGUUGGGAGGUAACGGCUCACCAAAGGCUUCGACGGGUAGCUGGUCUGAGAGGACGAUCAGCCACAACUGGCACUGCGACAACGGGCC
rnacentral:rRNA from 1 species